rnacentral:lncRNA from 1 species
CAACUAACCACCAGAACUUCUCUGACGGUGUCUUGGCCAAGCACAUUCCCGCCCCUGCUACUUCUUUCACCUUUCUUAUGCAGGUGACAUUCCUGAGACUUGGGGUCAGGUUAUCCUACCGAGUAAAUCAACACGAGUCAAUCAAUAACUCAAGAGAUCUGGUGACAGGACAGGAGGUGGAGCCUGGGUGGCCACUCUGUCUAUAUGACCCUUCCAGUCCCAGGGCUCUGAAAAGAAGUGGUGAGUUCAAUGCCAUCUUCUACUGACUGGAUACAGAACUUUCAGCCAUGAAGGUAACAAGCAUCCUCCUCCUCUGUGCCUUGGCCCUGUUGGGGCUAUCUGGUAGGUGCCUGCAUAUUUUUCUGAUUUGAGUAAAACCUGUUUGACUUGUUGCAUUACUAAACCCAUUACCUUCUAGAUUUACAUUCUAGUCUUAGAUCUUUUGGUCCUAGCGAAAUAAGGUCAGGGGCCUAUUCCAGGGGGCUUCUUCAAGCCCGUAAGUGCCUUGCUGCUUCUUAUGACAUUUAGCUAGGAAGAGCUACCUCCUUACCUAGAUCACUUCAGAAACUGUCAAUAUCAAAAUCAAAUCUCACCAACAUUUCCUUCUUUGGAUACUAUCAGGUUAGCUCCUUUUCCCUUCAUUGAGCUCAACCAAAAUGACCAUCCUCUACAUGAUGUCAGCAAGACCUGAUAUUUUCCAGGGAAUGCAGCAUGGCAAUUUUAAGCAUCUAUCUGUGAAUUGGAUAAAUGUGAAUUGGAUUAAUAGGCAGUGUAGAGUAACAGAGGGAAUGAGUUCCUUAGGGUCCGAUGUUGAGUUAUCAAAAGAGUUCCAUGUUUAACAUUACUUACAAAAAGACUUACAUGUCAUUCCAAGUUAGUUUUGUUAUCACAAGACCUGGUUACUGCUAGUAGUAACUGCUUUACAAUUAGUUGUAUAAACUCUUCACAUCUUCAUCUAUAAACUGAAUUAAAGAUACUUAGACUUCUUACAUCACUAAUUGUAAGAUCAAAGGUCUAGUAACCAGUUGCGACAAUGUCAGUGAGCAUUCAGAAGAUAUUUGCUCCGUACCUGAUACAUUUCAAGCAGUAAGUAAAUCACUUCUAUUUUCAAAGAAAUGGGUCAACUUUUGUGAAAUGCUGAACUAAGAUACUUUGAUCAUAAUCAAACUUGUGCUUCAUUUCCUUGACGCUUCAACAGGCAAGGAGUGAUUGGACACCAGUGAGAUAUCCUUGAGAGAAGACAGAAAUAAGAAAAGGUUGAGGGGACAGGGGGGCAGAAGAGGCCAGCAGAGAAGUCACCAGUCUUCAAUGGAAGCUGAGAAUUCUGAUUAAGAGCAGAGCUGGCUUCUCCCAUUUAGGACCCAACCUCACAAUGUCUAAUUUAUGUUUUAUAGGCAACACUAGAGCUGACUUGCUGGAAAGACAGGUAAAGACAAUUUUGUACUUUCUUAUCUCUAGGGCUAGAACUGUUUGCCCCAAUCAAUGCACAUUCAAGUGUUUCAAUUUCAAUUUCACCUGAAAUCAGGACAGGUGUGUGGUGCUAGCGAGGCUUAACAAGUAUGGAGAGUAACAACAGUUUGCCCACAGGGGCUUAUGCUGAAGAACAAACGCACUGACACACAGGCGGUUUCCAUGUAGUCAUACAGCCCUCGCUGUGAGGGGGUUUUAUAUAUUUUGAGGCUAGCUGGUAGCACAAGGAUGUUGGGUGGCAUUCUUUUUAACUUCGCCCCAAAUAGCCCUUCCUCCUUAGGGCCAGCUUGACCAUGCUGGCAUAAACUUUUCCCAAUCCCCUAGGUGGAACCCUAAUUUAUAACUAACAAAAGAAAAAUAAUAAACUUCGUUCUUCCUCUAGAAAAAUAGUCUAUAUCUAACUUUCCUAUUUUUUCCUUGUGUUUAUAAGGUAAAUUGCAAUAAAUCUGAAGCCCAGAGGGGGAAGUGUCCCUCUUUUCAUUACAUUUAUAUCUAGUGAGGGGAUAGAUGACAAACUUAAAGGGCAUGAGUGAAUAAAUUACACUAAUGAUAAGGGUUGUGAAGAAGUUCUGGUACCAUGUGGAACCUAGACUGGUUAGAUCAGAGAAUGUGCCCCUAACUGAGUGAAAUUUAUUUCGAGUCAUAAAGGAUAAGUGAGUGUUAGCAAAAGACUACUGGUGGGUAGAAGUAGUAGAGUGAAGGGGUUAAGAGCCAAAGCUCAGGACCUAGACCAACUAGGUUUGAAUCCUGGAUCCAGGAAUUACCAGCUAUGUGGCUUGGGUGAUUUAAUCUCUAUGUGCUUCACUGUCUUCCCUGGAAGAUGAGUAUAAUAAAAAGUUCAUAGGAUAGUUUUGAGGUUGAAAGAGAAUAGUACAUGAAAGCAAGUAUGGCCUAAGACAGCCAUUUCAUAAUUCUGAGUUCUUGCUGAUGUCGACAAAAUAGGCUAUGCCAGGACUCCAAGGGGACAAAGCACUUGGUGUUGUCUGUCACAUGACUGAAGGAAGGGCAGUGUGACUGGGCCACAGUGGGCAAGGAAGACAUGCCCAUGGUGUGGCUGACCUGAGAGGAACCAGCGCCCGCAGUCAAUAUAAACCUGAACAUUAUCACACUCACCUCAUUUAAGCCUCACAUGACCAUCAUGAGAUAGUUGGCGAAGUGAAAAUACCCUUCUCACUGCACAGAUGAUGUGACUGAGGUUCAGAGGAACCAAGAGAUCUGCCAAUAUCUCACAACUUGUAAAUAGCAGAGGCAGUCCAUACAAUCAGGCUUUCUGAUUCCAAACCCUGAACUCUUUCUCUCGGACACUCAUUAUCACUACCCCCACCGGAGUCAGGCUUCUGUCUUUAAGCUGAUCAACUCCAGGGAAGUGAAAGCUGUUUUAGAGAUUUUGUUAUAAACUCGAAGACUACAAAAUGACGGAAAACAAUUCUGUUUAAUUCCAUUUUCAGGCUAAAUGUGACAGUGAAAUACCUGGAUGUACCAAGAUCUAUGCUCCUGUCUGUGGGACUGAUGGAAAAACUUAUUCUAAUGAAUGCUUGUUAUGUGUUGAAAAUAAGUGAGUACGAACUUGAGUGUCUUUUAAAACGUAUUUUUAAGCUAGUUGUCUUCACAUUUUCAUAUAUUUUAUCCCCCUAAGUUCCAACCAAUAUAUCAAUAACAUUAAUCUUACAAGAGAAAUAAAACAAGUAGUUUUCCAAAAAUAAUGCUCAAUCUCUUCUCCUUAUUCUAUAUCUGGUAUGAUUCUAUCCAGAGACAUGCAUACAUUUAUGUGUGUAAUACAAUAAAAGACAAUAUUUAUUGUGUCAAGCAUUGUGCAAGGCACUUAAUAUUCAUGAGUCUAUGAGGUACAUAAUAUAAGCCCAUUAUACACAUGAAGAGAUUGAGACUGAGCUUAAAUUACCUGCUCAAAAUCAACCAGCAGGAAGUGACAGAUCUGGUUCCAAAUCCUUGCUUUUUCAACUACAUGUUUUUUGAGAGAGAGAGAGAGAGAGAGAGAAAGAGAGGGAGGGCACAUGCACACAUGGGCACACAAGUUGGGGAGGGGCAUACAGAGAAUCUUAAGCAGGCUCCACACCCAACAUGGAGCCAGACACAGGGCUUGAUCCCAUGACCCUGGGAUCAUGACCUGAGCCAAAAUCAAGACUCAGAUGCUUAACCGACUGAGCCACCCAGGUGCCUCUCAACUAUGCUUUAAAGUCAGGCACCAGCCUAAGUAAAUUUGUGAGACACAGAGGAAAAGCCAACAUGUUUAAACAUGAUUAAAAACAACUAAUUAUGCCUGCUAGGAUUCGGAAAAGUUUGGACACUUUCUCUAGACCCUAAAGAAGGAGAGUGAGGCAUUCCAAUAAGGAGAAAAGCUGAACAAAAGGGAGAAAGGAAUUAAUCACAUAAGAUAAACGUGUUAAGGAAAGGACAGUGGAAUGGAGGAGGAAAGUAUCUGAAUGGUUCUCUCAACCAGUUUUUAAAAAAUCAUGUAUAUGACAAAAAAAACAUGCUUUUCCAGCAAGACAGUGGAUGGUCUAGAUUUUCAAAAAGCUAAUACACCCAAAAUACCUUUAAAUUAAAAAAAUAUCAGGGGCACCUGGCUAGCUCAGUUGAUAGCACAUGUGACUCUUGAUCUUGGGGUUGUGAGUUUGAGCCCCUUAUUGGGUAUAGAGAUUACUUAAAAUUAAAAUCUUUAAAAAAAUCAUUCUUGCUGAUGGUAAUGAUUGUGUUAACUAAAGCCCUCAAAAAUGCAUAUAUGAAUAACAUAGAUUAGGUGGCCAAAAAUAUAUUUUCAUAGCACUUUUAUUUAUGGAGAUGAGAGCCGGCCUCAAUGAAGCUCAUUUUCUGAAGUGAUCACAGGUCGGGAAUCAAACUCAGGCAUUCAGAGAAGCAGAUCUGCCACAAACUUUCUAUUUCACAUAGCUACUGAACACCUAACAUGUGUCCAGCAAUGUGCUAGUUUCCUCUGCUUUCCUUGUGCUUUUGAGUAAGAGAAAUUAACUCAUCGAGGCAAACAAGGUAGCUUCUUGUAACCUGUGAAAAGCGGCAUCAAAUGAGGUGUGAGGAAAGUACUACAGGUGGGAAGGAGAGAAUCAGAUGUCUUCUCAUUGAAAGGGUCAAGAAAGGAUUCAUGAAAAGGAUGUCAUUUAAAUAGGGCUCUGAAUUUUGGUAGCACUGCAAAAGCAUUCCAGGUUAAUGGCGUAGAACAAUCAAAACAAAUAAAAGAGAUUGUGCAAGUAGUCCAGAAAACUCUAAGUUAUUCUUAGAACUGAUUUAGUAUUAAAGGGUUUGAUGUAAGCUCAAACGACUGCAUAUUAUUUCCAUUAUUCCACAGUCUAAGUUCCCAAUAACAUGAUCUCUCUUCUUGGUCUGCUUUAAAUCACUUCAGAAAAUUCUCAGUGUUAGCAAGCAUUGUGGAAAUAGGGCCCCAGGGAGAGAGAUCUAUCAUUCUGAAGUUUUAGAACCAAAAUAUUAGGUGUUCUGCUUUGUGGUGAAUUUAUUUCCACACUAAAGAUUUGUAAAAGGAACUCAAAAACACUUGUUAAUUUUCUCAUGAUCUAGGCUGUUGACAUAAAGGUCAAACAUCCUAUUUCCAUCCAAGGCGAGGAGAAAGCAAUAUAACAGCCUUGAGAUUUAGAAACUUUCCAAGUGCCAAGACCAAAAGGCCCAAUAUUUAUAGCGAAAUAUUGGGAAAAUAUGAGCUUAGAGCUGAGACACAUCAUUCGUUCAGCUUUUAAAACCUACCCAUCCUGCUUACUUGCUCUAUUUUUUCAAAAAUAUUCAUAUAUGGGAAGAAUAUUUAAAUGCCAGAAAAAUGUAACUUCUCUUCCUGUAUCUCUCAGAUAAGUAAACAGGUCCAGAGAGAAAAUGUGGUUUCUUCUAAAGUAAAAUAUUUUCAGAUGAACCAUGUUGCGUUUCUCUCUACUGCCCACUGAAAGCCCCAAAUGAAUAUGGUGUAGAGUUAACUAGAGCCAAGCUCUAACCCAUGUUGGUGGGUUGUGCUUGCAUCUCCUAGCUCAUUAUGUGCUUGUCAGAUAUAGUCAGUCAGGACUUUUUUCUGUCUCUUCUAUGUCUCCUUAGGGAGCCUGCACUGUCAAAUUCUGUUCUAUAGAUCAGCGUUCUCUAGUAGAACUUUCUUCAAGAUGGAAAUGUUCUAUGUCUGUGUUGUCUAGUGUGGAAGCCACUAGCCACCAGGACUUAAAAUGUGGUUAGUACAUCUAAGAAACUAUAUUUUUAAUAUUACAUCAUUUUUUAACUGAUUUGAAUUUAAACAGCUGAAUAGGGAUAGUGUCUUCUCUACUGGACAGCACAGGUAGAGAAAUAAGUCAGUGUGUUUAAAAGUUUGUGCUGUGUAUGUUAAAACAACUCAGACCUAAGUGUUAUGCAUGAAUAAUAAUUAUGGAACAAAAAGACAUUAAAAGCUCUUAAAAAGGUGGCACCUGGGUGACUCAGUCAGUUUAGCAUCUGACUCUUGGUUUUGGCUCAGGUCAUGAAUUUGCAGUUCGUGGGUUGGGCCCCUGUUGGGCUCUGUGCUGGCAGUGUGGAGCCUGCUUGAGAUUCUCCCUUUCUCUCUGUCCCUUCCCUGCUCAUGCUCUCUCUCACAAAAUAAAUAAAUAAACUUAAAAAAAAAAAGGUCUUAAAAGGAAGAAUCAUCAAGGUCCAGAUAAAUACAUGCAAAAAGAUAUAUGGAAGUCAGAUGUCCCCAAGUAACGGAGAAAUAGAAGAAUUUUUAUAAACCAGUAUAUUCAAAGAAAGGAUGGCUAAGAAGAGAGAGAGAGCGAGCUCUGCAAACAAUCUCAUGAAGAACAAUUACAGGAUUUAAGAACAUUUAGCUGACAGAAGAGAAAAUUGGUUUGGGAAAGGUAGUGAGUUGGGAGUGAGUUGGUAGUUGAGUGAGGUUUUUAUCUGGAGGGGAGGAUGCUUAGAGCUGGCAGUUAUCAGGAUACAGAUAUGAUUUCCUUUUGUGAGAUCCCACAGAUAUUAAUCCCCAGAGUUCUAAGACAAAAGAUCAGCCAAUUAGAGCAUCCCGGAGUAGGCCAGGCAGCAGCUAAGAUGGAAAUCUUGUGGCUAGGACAACGAUAUUAGGAGUAAAAGAACCAAUGAUGACUUAGAGGUUGAUUUCACUGGUUUCCUGUAAUGUCACAGUAGAUCUGCACACUCUGUGAGGACAGACAUUUUUCCUUUCUGUUGUAUCCUUAGUGUAUGUAAGCAACAGCGUUGAUCGAUAUUUGAUGAAUUUAUGAAUAAGUAAAUGAAUAAAUGAUUGAAAGACAAAGAAAUGGGAAUAAAUAUGAAACCUUUCUAUUUUAAAUAAAGCUGAUCUUUUUUCAUUGUUUUUCUCCCAUUGUCAGUUUUUUUGUCAGCAAAGUUUGAUUUUUUUUUUUUUCCAAUCUCUUCCAUAGGAAGCGCCAGAACCCUGUCCUCAUUAAAAAAUCUGGGCCUUGCUGAGAACCAAGGUGCUAAAAUCCCAUGUGGUCACCACAACGCCUAGCUGGCCUUACUGUUGAAUAAAAUGCAUCUAAAUACUUC